rnacentral:sRNA from 1 species
CAACGAGCAACACGACAUACUACCGCCC